rnacentral:lncRNA from 1 species
CCUUUUAAAAAGUAUGUGUGCCUGUGUGCGCAUGCGCCUGUGCAUUCGGCACGCUGUGCCCACAGAUCAGCGCAAAGAGGGCUUUCCAGAGGAUCUUUUUCUUAAUGUAGUGUCAGAUCUUAAAAUAAGAUUUAAGGGCUGGGAAGUCUGAUUGAGUGGGACUGAGAUGUGAUUUCUAGUAGUAGCACUCACUAGAACGGGGAGAACAGAAAAUGCUGUUUCUAUGUGUGGGAGGUCGGACAUUUUGGACAGACAUAUUUUAAUUCAGCCUUUUCUUUUGAAAUCAAGUCUACGCCGUAGCUACCUUGAGAUGUGUAGUUGCUUAUUCUGUUUAAUGGAUUGUUCAUCCUCUCUGUCCUUGAGAUAAUCCUAAGCAUGUGCAUAAAACUGAGAUCCUGUUGCUCAUAAAAACCAAUCAGCCCGCAGUUGGUCCACAAGGUGUUGAGCACUCGCUGGAGCAGAUGGGAAAGAUAAUGUUUAAUAAAGAGUUAGAGGAUUAGGUGGUACAAAACAAGCAAAGAGAAAGGGAUAAUUUGAUUUCAGGUGAACCUCUGUGACAUUUCUUGUACCCAGAGACAGAUUAAAAUGAUUCCAAAGCCAUGACUUUUGGCUCCUCUUCCCCAGGGCCGACCCGGCUGCAUACAUUGUCAGCUUUUGACUCUGCUGGCAUGACCAUCACCGGAAUCUGUGAAUAACACAGAAGAGAGUUUCUCAGGUUUAUGAAGAUGUAUGAAAAGUUAAAUGAAAAACGGAUUGCGGAUUACAGCCUAAGCGGGUUUGAGCCUGAAUUUAAUAUAACAACUUGUGGCAAAUGGAAGGAGCGGGAAGGUAGCGCCGACUAGUCCGAAGUCCUCUGGAGAGGGUCUACACUACGAAGAGUUCCAGAGAAGGAGAGCUAAUCCUAGGGGAAAUUCAGUGUCCAGAUGUUUCAGAAUCCAGAUGGCCUAUGAAUCCUCUAUCACCCAGAAAGGAGGAAAAUGUGCAUGAAAGCGGAAGAUUGAAAAGAAAAAAAAUAAUUUAGGUGAUGUAAUGGCAGCAUACUGGGCUUAAGGAAAAGCUUCCCCUCCUAAAGCAGCAACUUAAUAAAAUGCAUGUUACAGUCUCUAUCAGCAAGCCAGAUUUUCAGCCUUGCCUCUUUUUUCCAUCACCAUUAAGAGGCUUGCAGAGAUCCACACUGUUUAAAGGGCA